UGAGCUUUUUGAGGCAAUGAUGAAAGUGAACUCGUUGAGGACCCUGAGAUUGAAGUUAAACCAUUCGCCACGCACCGAGUAUGACUUCAGUAAAUUGGAAG